GAUGAACGCUCGCUACAGGCUUAACACAUGCAAGUCGCGGGGCAGCAUGGGGGUUGCUUGCAACUCCCGAUGGCGACCGGCGCACGGGUGAGUAACGCGUAUCCAACCUGCCCUUCACCACGGGAUAACCCGGCGAAAGUCGGACUAAUACCGUAUGUUGUCCAUUGACGGCAUCCGAUUUGGACGAAAGGCUUUGCGGGGAAGGAUGGGGAUGCGUCCGAUUAGCCAGACGGCGGGGUAACGGCCCACCGUGGCUACGAUCGGUAGGGGUUCUGGGAGGAGGGUCCCCCACACUGGAACUGAGACACGGUCCAGACUCCUACGGGAGGCAGCAGUGAGGAAUAUUGGUCAAUGGGCGUAAGCCUGAACCAGCCAAGUAGCGUGCAGGAUGACGGCCCUAUGGGUUGUAAACUGCUUUUAUGCGGGGAUAAAGUGGCCCACGUGUGGGCUUUUGCAGGUACCGCAUGAAUAAGGACCGGCUAAUUCCGUG
rnacentral:rRNA from 1 species